UACGUAGGGGGCUAGCGUUGUCCGGAAUUAUUGGGCGUAAAGAGCUCGUAGGCGGCUUGUCACGUCGGGUGUGAAAGCCCGGGGCUUAACCCCGGGUCUGCAUUCGAUACGGGCAGGCUAGAGUGUGGUAGGGGAGAUCGGAAUUCCUGGUGUAGCGGUGAAAUGCGCAGAUAUCAGGAGGAACACCGGUGGCGAAGGCGGAUCUCUGGGCCAUUACUGACACUGAGAAGCGAAAGCAUGGGGAGCGAACAGG
rnacentral:rRNA from 1 species